CGGUACGGGUGAGUAACACGUAUCCAACCUGCCGUCUACUCUUGGACAGCCUUCUGAAAGGAAGAUUAAUACAAGAUGGCAUCAUGAGUCCGCAUGUUCACAUGAUUAAAGGUAUUCCGGUAGACGAUGGGGAUGCGUUCCAUUAGAUAGUAGGCGGGGUAACGGCCCACCUAGUCUUCGAUGGAUAGGGGUUCUGAGAGGAAGGUCCCCCACAUUGGAACUGAGACACGGUCCAA
rnacentral:rRNA from 1 species